CGGAGGGUGCAAGCGUUGUCCGGAUUUACUGGGUUUAAAGGGUGCGUAGGCGGUCUUUUAAGUCAGUGGUGAAAUCCUGCAGCUCAACUGUAGAACAGCCAUUGAUACUGAAAGACUUGAGUACAGACGAGGUAGGCGGAAUUUAUGGUGUAGCGGUGAAAUGCAUAGAUACCAUAAAGAACCCCUAUUGCGAAGGCAGCUUACUAGGCUGUAACUGACGCUGAGGCACGAAAGCGUGGGGAUCAAACAGGAUUAGAUACCCUGGUAGUCCACGCCGUAAACGAUGAUUACUCGAUGUUCGCGAUAUACAGUGAGCGUCCAAGCGAAAGCGUUAAGUAAUCCACCUGGGAAGUACGAUCGCAAGAUUG
rnacentral:rRNA from 1 species